UGAACGCUAGCGACAGGCUUAACACAUGCAAGUCGAGGGGCAGCAUGAUUUGUAGCAAUACAGAUUGAUGGCGACCGGCGCACGGGUGAGUAACGCGUAUGCAACUUACCUAUCAGAGGGGGAUAGCCCGGCGAAAGUCGGAUUAAUACCCCAUAAAACAGGGGUCCCGCAUGGGAAUAUUUGUUAAAGAUUCAUCGCUGAUAGAUAGGCAUGCGUUCCAUUAGGCAGUUGGCGGGGUAACGGCCCACCAAACCGACGAUGGAUAGGGGUUCUGAGAGGAAGGUCCCCCACAUUGGUACUGAGACACGGACCAAACUCCUACGGGAGGCAGCAGUGAGGAAUAUUGGUCAAUGGCCGAGAGGCUGAACCAGCCAAGUCGCGUGAAGGAAGAAGGAUCUAUGGUUUGUAAACUUCUUUUAUAGGGGAAUAAAGUGGAGGACGUGUCCUUUUUUGUAUGUACCCUAUGAAUAAGCAUCGGCUAACUCCGUGCCAGCAGCCGCGGUAAUACGGAGGAUGCGAGCGUUAUCCGGAUUUAUUGGGUUUAAAGGGUGCGUAGGUGGUGAUUUAAGUCAGCGGUGAAAGUUUGUGGCUCAACCAUAAAAUUGCCGUUGAAACUGGGUUACUUGAGUGUGUUUGAGGUAGGCGGAAUGCGUGGUGUAGCGGUGAAAUGCAUAGAUAUCACGCAGAACUCCGAUUGCGAAGGCAGCUUACUAAACCAUAACUGACACUGAAGCACGAAAGCGUGGGGAUCAAACAGGAUUAGAUACCCUGGUAGUCCACGCAGUAAACGAUGAUUACUAGGAGUUUGCGAUACAAUGUAAGCUCUACAGCGAAAGCGUUAAGUAAUCCACCUGGGGAGUACGCCGGCAACGGUGAAACUCAAAGGAAUUGACGGGGGCCCGCACAAGCGGAGGAACAUGUGGUUUAAUUCGAUGAUACGCGAGGAACCUUACCCGGGUUUGAACGUAGUCUGACCGGAGUGGAAACACUCUUUCUAGCAAUAGCAGAUUACGAGGUGCUGCAUGGUUGUCGUCGGCUCGUGCCGUGAGGUGUCGGCUUAAGUGCCAUAACGAGCGCAACCCUUAUCACUAGUUACUAACAGGUGAAGCUGAGGACUCUGGUGAGACUGCCAGCGUAAGCUGUGAGGAAGGUGGGGAUGACGUCAAAUCAGCACGGCCCUUACAUCCGGGGCGACACACGUGUUACAAUGGCAUGGACAAAGGGCAGCUACCUGGUGACAGGAUGCUAAUCUCCAAACCAUGUCUCAGUUCGGAUCGGAGUCUGCAACUCGACUCCGUGAAGCUGGAUUCGCUAGUAAUCGCGCAUCAGCCAUGGCGCGGUGAAUACGUUCCCGGGCCUUGUACACACCGCCCGUCAAGCCAUGGGAGCCGGGGGUACCUGAAGUCCGUAACCGCAAGGAUCGGCCUAGGGUAAAACUGGUGACUGGGGCUA
rnacentral:rRNA from 1 species